CCCUUAGACGUUCUGGGCCGCACGCGCGCUACACUGACCAGUGCAACAAGCAUCCGUCCUUGGCCGACAGGCUCGGGCAAUCUUUGAACGCUGGUCGUGAUGGGGAUAGACUUUUGCAAUUUUUGGUCUUCAACGAGGAAUUCCUAGUAAACGCAAGUCAUCAACUUGCAUUGAUUACGUCCCUGCCCUUUGUACACACCGCCCGUCGCACCUACCGAUUGAAUGGUCCGGUGAAGCCUCCGGAUUUGCGCGCACCUCGGUGCCGCCGAGAAGUUGGCUAAACCUUACCAUUUAGAGGAAGGUGAAGUCGUAACA
rnacentral:rRNA from 1 species